AGUGAACGCUGGCGGUAGGCCUAACACAUGCAAGUCGAACGGCAGCACGGUGAGAGCUUGCUCUUACGGGUGGCGAGUGGCGGACGGGUGAGGAAUACAUCGGAAUCUACUUUUUCGUGGGGGAUAACGUAGGGAAACUUACGCUAAUACCGCAUACGACCUACGGGUGAAAGCAGGGGAUCUUCGGACCUUGCGCGAUUGAAUGAGCCGAUGUCGGAUUAGCUAGUUGGCGGGGUAAAGGCCCACCAAGGCGACGAUCCGUAGCUGGUCUGAGAGGAUGAUCAGCCACACUGGAACUGAGACACGGUCCAGACUCCUACGGGAGGCAGCAGUGGGGAAUAUUGGACAAUGGGCGCAAGCCUGAUCCAGCCAUACCGCGUGGGUGAAGAAGGCCUUCGGGUUGUAAAGCCCUUUUGUUGGGAAAGAAAAGCAGCAGGUUAAUACCCCGCUGUUCUGACGGUACCCAAAGAAUAAGCACCGGCUAACUUCGUG
rnacentral:rRNA from 1 species